CCUUCGGGUUGUAAAGCUCUUUCGCAAGGGAACAAGAAAGGUUGGAUAACACCCAGCCAAUUUGAUGGUACUUUGUAAAGAAGCACCGGCUAACUCCGUGC
rnacentral:rRNA from 1 species